rnacentral:rRNA from 1 species
CAAUAGCGUAUAUUAAAGUUGUUGCGGUUAAAAAGCUCGUAGUUGGAUUUCUGCUGAGGAUGACCGGUCCGCCCUGUGGGUGUGCAUCUGGCUCAGCCUUGGCAUCUUCCUGAAGAACGUAGCUGCACUUGACUGUGUGGUGCGGUAUUUAGGACAUUUACUUUGAGGAAAUUAGAGUGUUUCAAGCAAGCGCACGCUUUGAAUACAUUAGCAUGGAAUAAUAAGAUAGGACCUUGGUUCUAUUUUGUUGGUUUCUAGAGCUGAGGUAAUGAUUGAUAGGGAUAGUUGGGGGCAUUCGUAUUUAACUGUCAGAGGUGAAAUUCAUGGAUUUGUUAAAGACGGACUACUGCGAAAGCAUUUGCCAAGGAUGUUUUCAUUGA